GACGAACCGUCCUAACGUUGUUCGGAAUCACUGGGCUUAAAGGGCGCGUAGGCGGGCCAUCAAGUCCGGGGUGAAAUACUUCGGCUUAACCGGAGAAUUGCCUUGGAUACUGGUGGUCUAGAGGGAGGUAGGGGUCUGUGGAACUUCCGGUGGAGCGGUGAAAUGCGUUGAUAUCGGAAGGAACGCCGGUGGCGAAAGCGACGGACUGGACCUCUUCUGACGCUGAGGCGCGAAAGCCAGGGGAGCAAACGGG
rnacentral:rRNA from 1 species